CUACGGGAGGCAGCAGUGAGGAAUCUUGCGCAAUGGGCGAAAGCCUGACGCAGCCACGCCGCGUGCCGGAUGAAGGCCCUAUGGGUUGUAAACGGCUUUUAAGCAGGAAGAACGACCGGAUUUCGAUCUGGUGUGACGGUACUGCUUGAAUAAGCACCGGCUAACUCCGUGCCAGCAGCCGCGGUAAUACGGAGGGUGCAAGCGUUGUCCGGAAUCAUUGGGUGUAAAGGGUGCGUAGGCGGGCGUCUAAGUCUGGGGUGAAAUCUUGCCGCUUAACGGUAAAAUGGCCUUGGAUACUGGGCGUCUUGAGUGUAGAAGAGGUAAGUGGAAUUCGUAGUGUAGCGGUGAAAUGCAUAGAUAUUACGAAGAACAUCAGUGGCGAAGGCGGCUUACUGGUCUACAACUGACGCUGAGGCACGAAAGCGUGGGGAGCGAACAGGAUUAGAUACCCUGGUAGUCCACGCUGUAAACGAUGCAUACUAGGUGUUGGCCUUUCGGGGCCAGUGCUGCAGUUAACGCAUUAAGUAUGCCACCUGGGGAGUACGUCGGCAACGAUGAAACUCAAAGGAAUUGACGG
rnacentral:rRNA from 1 species